rnacentral:rRNA from 2 species
CUAACUACGUGCCAGCAGCCGCGGUAAUACGUAGGUGGCGAGCGUUAUCCGGAAUGAUUGGGCGUAAAGGGUGCGUAGGUGGCAGAUCAAGUCUGGAGUAAAAGGUAUGGGCUCAACCCGUACUGGCUCUGGAAACUGAUCAGCUAGAGAACAGAAGAGGACGGCGGAACUCCAUGUGUAGCGGUAAAAUGCGUAGAUAUAUGGAAGAACACCGGUGGCGAAGGCGGCCGUCUGGUCUGGAUUCUGACACUGAAGCACGAAAGCGUGGGGAGCAAAUAGGAUUAGAUACCCUAGUAGUCCACGCCGUAAACGAUGAGAACUAGGUGUUGGGGGAAUAACUCAGUGCCGCAGUUAACGCAGUAAGUUCUCCGCCUGGGGAGUAUGCACGCAAGUGUGAAACUCAAAGGAAUUGACGGGGGCCCGCACAAGCGGUGGAGUAUGUGGUUUAAUUCGAAGCAACGCGAAGAACCUUACCAGGCCUUGACAUCCCUUGCAGAGGUAUAGAGAUAUAUCCGAGGUUAUCAAGGAGACAGGUGGUGCAUGGUUGUCGUCAGCUCGUGUCGUGAGAUGUUGGGUUAAGUCCCGCAACGAGCGCAACCCUUGUGAUAUGUUACUAACAUUGAGUUGAGGACUCAUAUCAGACUGCCGGUGAUAAACCGGAGGAAGGUGGGGAUGACGUCAAAUCAUCAUGCCCCUUAUGGCCUGGGCUACACACGUACUACAAUGGCGUCUACAAAGAGCGGCAAGCCUGUGAAGGCAAGCGAAUCUCAUAAAGGACGUCUCAGUUCGGAUUGAAGUCUGCAACCCGACUUCAUGAAGCUGGAAUCGCUAGUAAUCGCGAAUCAGCAUGUCGCGGUGAAUACGUUCUCGGGCCUUGUACACACCGCCCGUCAAACCAUGGGAGUUGGUAAUGCCCGAAGCCGGUGGCAUAACCCUUCGGGGAGUGAGCCGUCGAAGGCAGGACCGAUGACUGGGGUUAAGUCGUAACAAGGUAUCCCUACGGGAACGUGGGGAUG